rnacentral:rRNA from 1 species
GCACAAGCGGUGGAGCAUUGUGGUUUAAUCGAAGACAACGCGAAGAACCUUACCAGGUCUUGACAUCCCGAUGCUAUUUCUAGAGAUAGAAAGUUACUUCGGUACAUCGGUGACAGGUGGUGCAUGGUUGUCGUCAGCUCGUGUCGUGAGAUGUUGGGUUAAGUCCCGCAACGAGCGCAACCCCUAUUGUUAGUUGCCAUCAUUCAGUUGGGCACUCUAGCGAGACUGCCGGUAAUAAACCGGAGGAAGGUGGGAUGACGUCAAAUCAUCAUGCCCCUUAUGACCUGGGCUACACACGUGCUACAAUGGUUGGUACAACGAGUUGCGAGUCGGUGACGGCGAGCUAAUCUCUUAAAGCCAAUCUCAGUUCGGAUUGUAGGCUGCAACUCGCCUACAUGAAGUCGGAAUCGCUAGUAAUCGCGGAUCAGCACGCCGCGGUGAAUACGUUCCCGGGCCUU